rnacentral:rRNA from 1 species
UGGGGAAUCUUGGACAAUGGGCGAAAGCCUGAUCCAGUAAUAUUUAUGGUGUGAUGGAGACGGCGUGCUUUGUAAAACACUUUUGUAAACAAAAAUAAUGAUAAUUGUUUAAGAAUUUAGUCCCGGCUAAUUUCGUGCCAGCAGCCGCGGUAAUACGGGAGGGACAAGCGUUAUUCAUCAUGAUUGGGCGUAAAGGGUUCGUAGGCGAUGAUAAAUGGUUACUGGGAAAUAACAAAGGUUAAUUUUGUUAAAAGGUAACGACAGAGUGGGUACAGAGAUGACGAAGGUGGGCACAAUUACUAAUGUAAAGGUAAAAUAUUUUGAUAUUAGUACGAAUACCGCACGCGAAGGCAGCUUUCUUCAACGUCUAACGCUGAGGCACGAAAGCAUGGGAAUCAAA